UCUAAUAUGGCAGAAUAAUGCAGUGAACUUAAGCUUCAAAGAUAAAGAUAUUCUUUUGUUAGAA
rnacentral:tRNA from 1 species